rnacentral:lncRNA from 1 species
GGAUCCCGUGUGCGCCGGGGUCGCAGGGCUCGCCCUUGGCUCGGGCUAAUGACAGCAGGCGGUUGCCAAGCGUGGCCCUGCGGAGCCUGGCUGAGCCCCGGGUUCCCAGGGCGGGUCGGAGUGGCAUCUGACCUGGGGUAGGUUCAUGCACACACAGAUCGCACGCCCUCUCCUGCAGCCCUUGGUUUUGCAGUCCCCACGCCCCGGGCCUCGGACCCGCGACCUCCGUGCGAAGCCACCAGCGUGCAAGUGCCGCGGGAGGGAACCAUGUUCACCUUGCCAUGCACACAUCUACCCCCACGCCCUGUGUCACUGCCCAGCCGAGCCUGCCAGCCUCCCCGCCCGCGAUGCCCUGCCCUGCCCUGCCCUGCCCUGGCCUCUCCUGGUGCGCCCCACACUCAACACCACGUAACUCCCUCCCAUCCCGACGCCGGCCACCCCAGAGCAAGCCUGGGGGAAAAAAAAAGAGAGAGAGAGAUGGGGUUUUCCUGUGAGCAAAUAUAUCUACCUGGAUCGAAUUCAGGGAUCCGAGCUUGGUAUUCAGCUCCGACUCUCAUCCCAACAUCUGCAAAGCAAUGCCAAGAUAUAUGCAGUUCAGUCCUGUGGUAAACACCAAAUACGAUUCAUCAGCUCCAGACCAGUCCUCUAGGCAGGCAGACACCAGGGACGAACCAGCAGCUACAGUCCAGUUCUUUCAGCAAGCAGACACCGGGCAUGAACCAGCAGAUGUAGUUCAAUCCUGAAGAAACCACUAGACUCAUCAGAUGUCCCAAAGCAAGGCCCCAGAAGUCACAUGCUGCUGCAG